rnacentral:rRNA from 1 species
UACGUAGGGUGCAAGCGUUAAUCGGAAUUACUGGGCGUAAAGCGUGCGCAGGCGGCUUUGCAAGACAGAUGUGAAAUCCCCGGGCUUAACCUGGGAACUGCAUUUGUGACUGCAUGGCUGGAGUGCGGCAGAGGGGGAUGGAAUUCCGCGUGUAGCAGUGAAAUGCGUAGAUAUGCUGAGGAACACCGAUGGCGAAGGCAAUCCCCUGGGCCUGCACUGACGCUCAUGCACGAAAGCGUGGGGAGCAAACGGG